rnacentral:misc_RNA from 1 species
GCCGAGCUGCCCGAGCUCCCUUAGUGAGAUUGCGAUCAGGUUUCGCAAUUCUACUCUUAUCUUUUGAAGAAACUUUAUGAACAUUGCGAGAUGACUUUGAAGCAAAUCGAGUUUUGUGAGCUUUAUUUACUUGAGCUCGAGCACCUCCCAUCUUCUCUACGAUUGAGUAAACAGCAAUCAAUUUUUCUUCUAACAAUAAACCCUAGCAGCCCAUCAGCUAAAAAGCCAG